rnacentral:lncRNA from 1 species
UCUAUUCACUAACAUGUAUAUUCAAAGCUGUCUAUUCGAGUCAUAGUCACUAAAUUAUUUUUACCCGGAGCUACAGAACUCCAAAUUAAGAUCCGUAAAUUUUAUCCGAAACUAGAUUCAAAUAUAUUCUUACCAUAAAAUUUUCAUAAUUUUUGGUUUAGCCAAAUAGUACAGUUUAUUCUUUAAAGUUUCCCCUGUUUCACUGUUUGACAGUUCUGACCUCUCUUCACUAAAAAUUAAUUAUCUCACUGUACAGAAUUCGGAUAUAGUUUCCGUUUGUUUCUCAUAAAAAUAGAUUCACUGAUAAUUCUAAACAUAUAAACUUUAUCCCAUAAUUAUUUUUGUACAAUUUUUUACAAUUUUCCAAAGUCAAAACAGGGGAUUCCAAACUCAUUCUGACUCUGUCUAAUUAAACUUCAAAUAUCUCAAAAUAUAUAACUCUUUUGCUUUUUCUAUUUCUUUUAUGUAAAAAUAGACUCAUUAAGCUUCAAUUUCAUAUAUUAUUCAGCCUCUAAUUAAAUUUCCAACAUUUUUGGUGAUUUUUCAAAGUCACACAACUGUUGCUGUCUAAACUGUUUUGUUGCUAAAUGUACUCUUUCAUAAUUUCACUUUUUCACUUUCAAUCACAAUUCAAUUCAAAAUUCACUUUUCCAUUUCUAAGUCGAUAUUCAAUUCAGUUCCACACCUAUAUUCAUUAUUCCAUUACACUUAGUCAAUUUCCCGUUGAACACUCGGAAUAUACAUAGAUACGUAGAGAAUUAGCACAUAAGUGCCACACUGAUAUGUAGCCGAAGCUACCACUGAUACGUAGCCGAAGCUACCACUGAUACGUAGCCGAAGCUACCACUGAUAUGUAGCCGAAGCUACCACUGAUACGUAGCCGAAGCUACCACUGAUACGUAGCCGAAGCUACCACUGAUACGUAGCCGAAGCUACCACUGAUCAAUAACACUGGAAAUGUCCACGGGCCUGCUCACACAAGCUGUCAGGUGUCUGCAACACAUGCUAGAUCACCCAGCACCCGGGACUCACUGUAACACUGUAACACUGAUCUCUAGUGACAUGUCACUUGUAUCCACUUCUAUUCCUAAGUUCAACCGGGAAUUUACACUUAACACUUUAUUUUAAACACUUUAUCACUUGAAUAAUUCAUGAACAAUUUUCCUUCCACAUUCAAUAUUAAUUCACAUAUCAAAUAUAAUUCACAAUUUAUAAAAAUAUAACUAUUAUUUACAUGUAACUUACUUUGAUGCAAUAAUAUAAAAAUUUAGCAAUUUAGUCUUUAAUCUUUCCUUUUCUCCGGUCAAGGUCGAUUCCACUUCUUUCUUGAUCUAUAAUAACACAUUUGACUUAUUUAGUACUCACAUUUAUCAAAAAAGUCCUUGACUCAACCUUUGGUAAAAUUAUAAUUUUGCCCCUAAACUUUUACAUAUUUACACUUUUGCCCCAAAGCUCGUAAAUUAAACUUCAUCCCUUAUUCUUAUGUAUUAUGACAUGUUGAACAUUUUUCCCUUCUAUAGAAACAUCAAAUUCCAACUCUAACACUUACUUAUGAACAUUUAGUAUUUUUAUCGAUUAUGUCGUUUUACUCGUUUUCACUCAAAAUCGCUUAGCAAAAGUUGCUUAACAUAAUUCUAAGCUUCAUAUUCUAUCAUGAAACAUCAAAAUUCACACUUUUCAUCUAUGGGUAAUUUUUCAGACAUAAAUUCUAGCUCGAAUAAUGGUAGAGAUAGUUAACAAGUUAUCGGAUGCGAAAAUACAAAGAACAAGAAUAACGGGGCUAGAACGGACUUACCAUGAAGCUUGGAAGAUGAACAAACCCUAGCCAUGGUGUUCCCUUGCUACAUACGGC